rnacentral:rRNA from 1 species
UGAGGAACAUGACCUUCGGCGGGGGAUAGCCGGCCCAACGGCCGGGUAAUACCGCGUACGACCACAUGGGGACAUCCCUGAGUGGUGAAAGCAGCAAUGCGCCGAUGGAGUGCCUCGCGGCCUAUCAGCUAGUUGGUGAGGUAACGCUCACCAAGGCAACGGACGGGUAGCUGGUCUGAGAGGAUGGCCAGCCANAUUGGGACUGAGACACGGCCCAGACCUGUACCGGGAG